rnacentral:rRNA from 1 species
AGUGAACGCUGGCGGUAGGCCUAACACAUGCAAGUCGAACGGCAGCACAGUAAGAGCUUGCUCUUACGGGUGGCGAGUGGCGGACGGGUGAGGAAUACAUCGGAAUCUACUUUUUCGUGGGGGAUAACGUAGGGAAACUUACGCUAAUACCGCAUACGACCUACGGGUGAAAGCAGGGGAUCUUCGGACCUUGCGCGAUUGAAUGAGCCGAUGUCGGAUUAGCUAGUUGGCGGGGUAAAGGCCCACCAAGGCGACGCUCCGUAGCUGGUCUGAGAGGAUGAUCAGCCACACUGGAACUGAGACACGGUCCAGACUCCUACGGGGGGCAGCAGUGGGGAAUAUUGGACAAUGGGCGCAAGCCUGAUCCAGCCAUACCGCGUGGGUGAAGAAGGCCUUCGGGUUGGAAAGCCCUUUUGUUGGGAAAGAAAAGCAGCAGGUUAAUACCCCGCUGUUCUGACGGUACCCAAAGAAUAAGCACCGGCUAACUUCGUG